UACAGAGGGCUCAAGCGUUGUUCGGAUUCAUUGGGCGUAAAGGGUGCGUAGGUGGCGCUGUAAGUCGGGUGUGAAAUUUCGGAGCUUAACUCCGAAACUGCAUUCGAUACUGCGGUGCUUGAGGACUGGAGAGGAGACUGGAAUUCAUGGUGUAGCAGUGAAAUGCGUAGAGAUCAUGAGGAAGACCAGUGGCGAAGGCGGGUCUCUGGACAGUUCCUGACACUGAGGCACGAAGGCCAGGGGAGCAAACGGG
rnacentral:rRNA from 1 species